GAUGAACGCUGGCGGCGUGCCUAAUACAUGCAAGUCGAGCGAACAGACGAGGAGCUUGCUCCGCUGGCGGUAGCGGCGAACGGGUGAGUAACACGUGGAUAACCUGCCUAUAAGACUGGGAUAACUGCGGGAAACCGGAGCUAAGACCGGAUAAUAUAUUGAACCGCAUGGUUCAAUAGUGAAAGACGGUUUUGCUGUCAGUUAUAGAUGGAUCCGCGCGGCAUUAGCUAGUGGGGAAGGUAACGGAUUACCAAGGCAACGAUGGGUAGCCGACACGAAAGGGUGGUCGGCGAGCUUGGAAGUGAGGCACGGCCCCCACACCGAGGGUGGGACGCGGUAGGGACUCCUACGGAAUGGGGGAGAGCCUGAUGGUGCACCGCGGCGGGAGUGCUGAAGGUCUUCGGAUGGUAGAGUUCUGUUAGUAGGGAGGAAGAAAAGUGUAAUUAACUAUGACCGUCGUGACGGUACCUACACAGAAAGCCCCGGCUAACUUCGUG
rnacentral:rRNA from 1 species